CUUAUUUUUAAGAGUGACGGGCAAUAUGUGCUUAAAAAAUUUCUUUUUCUAGCUUUGAUAUUUUCUAAAUCAAUACUUUUGAGUCCUUUUUCACCAUAAAUUUGGCCCUUAGAUUCAUCAUUUUUUAAAUUGUAUCCCAUUUGAGACCCAAAAAUAAUCUUUGUCUCGAUUUGUUUUUCUAUCUCUUUUUUAUUUUUUAAAGAAUUCUUUUUUAGUCUUUAUAACAAUGAUAUAAAAAAUUAGAUUUUGGGUUAUUUCUAUCGUGGGGUAUCGGUUAUCUAACAGGAUCCCCCAAUUAGAUUUUUUACCGCCAUUUUAUUUAGUUUUUUUUUAUUUAAAUACUAACUAAUAUUCUUUAAAA
rnacentral:rRNA from 1 species